rnacentral:rRNA from 1 species
AUUGAACGCUGGCGGCAGGCUUAACACAUGCAAGUCGAGCGGGGUGAUGGUGCUUGCACUAUCACUUAGCGGCGGACGGGUGAGUAAUGCUUAGGAAUCUGCCUAUUAGUGGGGGACGACAUCUCGAAAGGGAUGCUAAUACCGCAUACGUCCUACGGGAGAAAGCAGGGGAUCACUUGUGACCUUGCGCUAAUAGAUGAGCCUAAGUCGGAUUAGCUAGUUGGUGGGGUAAAGGCCUACCAAGGCGACGAUCUGUAGCGGGUCUGAGAGGAUGAUCCGCCACACUGGGACUGAGACACGGCCCAGACUCCUACGGGAGGCAGCAGUGGGGAAUAUUGGACAAUGGGGGGAACCCUGAUCCAGCCAUGCCGCGUGUGUGAAGAAGGCCUUAUGGUUGUAAAGCACUUUAAGCGAGGAGGAGGCUCUUUUGGUUAAUGCCCAAGAUGAGUGGACGUUACUCGCAGAAUAAGCAUCGGCUAACUCUGUGCCAGCCGCCGCAGUAA